GACGAACGCUGGCGGCGUGCCUAAUACAUGCAAGUCGAACGAACUCUGGUAUUGAUUGGUGCUUGCAUCAUGAUUUACAUUUGAGUGAGUGGCGAACUGGUGAGUAACACGUGGGAAACCUGCCCAGAAGCGGGGGAUAACACCUGGAAACAGAUGCUAAUACCGCAUAACAACUUGGACCGCAUGGUCCGAGUUUGAAAGAUGGCUUCGGCUAUCACUUUUGGAUGGUCCCGCGGCGUAUUAGCUAGAUGGUGAGGUAACGGCUCACCAUGGCAAUGAUACGUAGCCGACCUGAGAGGGUAAUCGGCCACAUUGGGACUGAGACACGGCCCAAACUCCUACGGGAGGCAGCAGUAGGGAAUCUUCCACAAUGGACGAAAGUCUGAUGGAGCAACGCCGCGUGAGUGAAGAAGGGUUUCGGCUCGUAAAACUCUGUUGUUAAAGAAGAACAUAUCUGAGAGUAACUGUUCAGGUAUUGACGGUAUUUAACCAGAAAGCCACGGCUAACUACGUGCCAGCAGCCGCGGUAAUACGUAGGUGGCAAGCGUUGUCCGGAUUUAUUGGGCGUAAAGCGAGCGCAGGCGGUUUUUUAAGUCUGAUGUGAAAGCCUUCGGCUCAACCGAAGAAGUGCAUCGGAAACUGGGAAACUUGAGUGCAGAAGAGGACAGUGGAACUCCAUGUGUAGCGGUGAAAUGCGUAGAUAUAUGGAAGAACACCAGUGGCGAAGGCGGCUGUCUGGUCUGUAACUGACGCUGAGGCUCGAAAGUAUGGGUAGCAAACAGGAUUAGAUACCCUGGUAGUCCAUACCGUAAACGAUGAAUGCUAAGUGUUGGAGGGUUUCCGCCCUUCAGUGCUGCAGCUAACGCAUUAAGCAUUCCGCCUGGGGAGUACGGCCGCAAGGCUGAAACUCAAAGGAAUUGACGGGGGCCCGCACAAGCGGUGGAGCAUGUGGUUUAAUUCGAAGCUACGCGAAGAACCUUACCAGGUCUUGACAUACUAUGCAAAUCUAAGAGAUUAGACGUUCCCUUCGGGGACAUGGAUACAGGUGGUGCAUGGUUGUCGUCAGCUCGUGUCGUGAGAUGUUGGGUUAAGUCCCGCAACGAGCGCAACCCUUAUUAUCAGUUGCCAGCAUUAAGUUGGGCACUCUGGUGAGACUGCCGGUGACAAACCGGAGGAAGGUGGGGAUGACGUCAAAUCAUCAUGCCCCUUAUGACCUGGGCUACACACGUGCUACAAUGGAUGGUACAACGAGUUGCGAACUCGCGAGAGUAAGCUAAUCUCUUAAAGCCAUUCUCAGUUCGGAUUGAAGGCUGCAACUCGCCUACAUGAAGUCGGAAUCGCUAGUAAUCGCGGAUCAGCAUGCCGCGGUGAAUACGUUCCCGGGCCUUGUACACACCGCCCGUCACACCAUGAGAGUUUGUAACACCCAAAGUCGGUGGGGUAACCUUUUAGGAACCAGCCGCCUAAGGUGGGACAGAUGAUUAGGGUG
rnacentral:rRNA from 1 species